rnacentral:lncRNA from 1 species
CUACCAGGUGUAGGACUGCGUCCUUCCCAAAGGCCUAACUCAUUUCACCUGCGGCCAUCCAUAAAUAAAGGCACAGGCCUUGCCUCCUUGGUGCCACUGAGGGAGCACAGCGGCAGCCAUUUACGUGGGUGUGGGUACUGCUCUUCUGACUUUAGCUUCACUCAUGGAAACAUGCCUAAAGGACGGGAGGACAGACCCUGUCACGCUGCUGCCACUCGUGUUGCUUUCGCUGCGCUCAACCCUUCUGUCUUCAUGUCACCGUGUGUUUUCUUUCAGUACAAAAUUGCACACGCUGGCAUAUCGGUUUUCACCCAACACCUUGUAGAUGUCCGUGC